AGCGAACGCUGGCGGCAGGCCUAACACAUGCCAGUCGAACGAACUCUUCGGAGUUAGUGGCGGACGGGUGAGUAACACGUGGGAACGUGCCUUUAGGUUCGGAAUAACUCAGGGAAACUUGUGCUAAUACCGAAUGUGCCCUUCGGGGGAAAGAUUUAUCGCCUUUAGAGCGGCCCGCGUCUGAUUAGCUAGUUGGUGAGGUAAAGGCUCACCAAGGCGACGAUCAGUAGCUGGUCUGAGAGGAUGAUCAGCCACAUUGGGACUGAGACACGGCCCAAACUCCUACGGGAGGCAGCAGUGGGGAAUCUUGCGCAAUGGGCGAAAGCCUGACGCAGCCAUGCCGCGUAAAUGAUGAAGGUCUUAGGAUUGUAAAAUUCUUUCACCGGGGACGAUAAUGACGGUACCCGGAGAAGAAGCCCCGGCUAACUUCGUG
rnacentral:rRNA from 1 species